rnacentral:rRNA from 1 species
AUUGAACGCUGGCGGCAGGCCUAACACAUGCAAGUCGAACGAGUGGCGGACGGGUGAGUAAUGUCUGGGAAACUGCCUGAUGGAGGGGGAUAACUACUGGAAACGGUAGCUAAUACCGCAUACCAUCGGAUGUGCCCAGAUGGGAUUAGCUUGUUGGUGGGGUAACGGAUCACCAAGGCGACUAUCCCUAGCUGGUCUGAGAGGAUGACCGUCCACACUGGAACUGAGACACGGUCCAGACUCCUACGGGUGGCAGCAGUGGGGAAUAUUGCACAAUGGGCGCAAUCCUGAUGCAGCCAUGCCGGGUGUAUGAAGAAGGCCUUCGGGUUGUAAAGUACGUUCAUCGGGGAGGCGUUACCCGCUGAAGAAGCACCGGCUAACUCCGUGCCAGCAGCCGCGGUAAUUC